UUGUUUUAACUAUUUAACUGUAGUUGUACUUCUUGUACUUUGUUUUAAUACUUUUUAAAAUUGUAGGAUUAGCAACUAGCCAACCAGCACACACAAGUCAAUUACAAAAUCAAAGAUUAUUGCUUCAUUUGAUAUCAAGUCUCUCAUGCAGCAAUGCGAAAGAUUGUUGCUUUUCCAGACAAGAAAACAUUUUUACGCAGUCAUGUGACACAUGCCUCUGAACAAUUUGUGGGAUUAGUGCAAGUUUGAUUUGCAAAUAAUCGAUCAAGCGAAAGUUUCAAAAAGAAAAAAACAACAUUUAUAAAGCUAAAUGUUGGUUCAUUGUUAAAUCUGAAAUCUUAAAGACUUGAAGUUGAAGACUUACCCGAAUCUUCUUUCGAACAAUAAUACAAGUAUACGAGAGAAGAGUCACUAUGAAAUAAAGUGACCCCCGCUUUUAAAUUUUAA